rnacentral:rRNA from 1 species
AGAGUUUGAUCCUGGCUCAGGACGAACGCUGGCGGCGUGCUUAACACAUGCAAGUGGUGCGACGAACCAGGGCUUGCCCUGGGGCAAAGCCGCGAACGGGUGAGUAACACGUGAGUAACCUGCCCCGAUGACCGGGACAACCCGAGGAAACUCGGGCUAAUACCGGAUGUGGCGCACAGAUAUAAGCCUGUGCGCUAAAGGAAGCUUCGGCCUCCGCAUUGGGAGGGGCUCGCGGCCCAUUAGCUUGUUGGUGGGGUAACGGCCUACCAAGGCAACGAUGGGUAGCUGGUCUGAGAGGACGAUCAGCCACACUGGGACUGAGACACGGCCCAGACUCCUACGGGAGGCAGCAGUAGGGAAUCUUCCACAAUGGACGAAAGUCUGAUGGAGCAAUGCCGCGUGAGCGAAGAAGGUUUUCGGAUCGUAAAGCUCUGUUGUAAGGGAAGAACACGUACGGGAGUAACUGCCCGUACCUUGACGGUACCUUAUUAGAAAGCCACGGCUAACUACGUGCCAGCAGCGGCGGUAAUAC